UAUGGAGGUGGCACACAGGCUCAUAACCUGAAGGCCGCAGGUUCAAAUCCUGCCCCCGCAACCA
rnacentral:tRNA from 1 species